UGAGGGUGCAUGUACCCAUGUGUGGCAUGUGAUAGCCAGAGGAGAAUGUUAGGUGUAUUUAUUAUUCUCCAUCCUAUUCCCUUGAGGCUGGUACCCUGACUCAAUCUCAGCUUCUUCAUUUUCACUACACCAGCUGACUAAGGAGCCUCUGGGACCUGCCUGUCUGUGUCUACCACUGAUGAAGUUAAAGGCAUGAGAGAUAAGUCUGGUAUUUCUUGUGAUAGAAACAAUUUAUUAUGCUUUAUUGAGGUUAUACAUAAUUUUGACUUAAGAAAAUACUUGCACUUCUGAGAGUUCUAUAACGUGAUCAUAUUUGGUUUUGCUAGUAUUGUGUUUAGAAUAGUUUAAAUCUGCUAAUUUUCUUUAUUAGGAUUUUAGUAUUAGAUUUACUGUCUAGUUUCCUCUAGCUUUACUUUUUUCUGCUUCUCUAUUCUUGCCCCUCUUCCACUUCUGUCAUUUUAACUACUAAGUACAAAGUACAGCAUGUUUAUGGUUGUUCAAUAUAAUAAGAUUUUAGCCCUUUAAGGAACAUAAUCUUAUAAAUCUAAUUUUCUAACUAGAGCAAGUUUUCUUAAUAGGGUUGUCAUCCGGGUUAUUAGAAACAUCAGGGAAACCCUGAUUCUCAGCAAUGUGGAUCUGUGCUUAGCUAAUGUAUUUUUAUAUACUGCUCUGAUGAAGUGGGAUUUUCUUUUAUAGAUUUAUUUUUAUUUUUUUAAUUAUAUAUGUCUGUGUCAUGGUCUUUGUUAAUGUGAGCACAGUGCCUACAGGGUCUAGAAGAGGACAUUAUCCUCAAACUGGAGUUACAGGUAGUUUUGAGCUACCCAACUUGCAUGCAUUCUGGGAAAGAAACAUGAGUCCUUUGCAAGCACAUCAUGCACUCUUAACUACUGAUCAUCUCUUUGUUCUAUCCCCCACAUUUUGUUCACUCAUGCUCCUAGAAGUAUGGUGGGUCUUACCAACAAUUUACAUAAUUUACCUAAUCUUGGGACAUUGGUGAGAUAAUAGUACUAAUGUUCUAGUCACUAUGAAAGUUUUAUUUCUUCUUAAUAUUUAUAUUUUUAUUUCUUAUUUUUUAAGUGAAGCUGCAUAGUUUACAGCUAUUUAAAGCUUGUUUUGUUUUGUUUUGGUUUUUGGCUUUUCAAGACAGGGUUUCUCUGUGUAGCUCUAAUUGUCCUGGAACCCACUCUGUAGACCAAGCUGGUCUUCAACUCAAGAGAUUUGCAUGCCUCUGCCUCCUGAGUGCAUCCCAUUAAAGGCGUGCACCACGAUCACCUGGCUAUCUAAAGCUUUUUAUUGUAAUUGUUUAUAGCACUGGUUUUAAUUUUUAAUUAUCUUUAUUAGUUCACUGUAGUUUUAUAGUAAUGUAAUGAAAUAUAAUGGUUUUUAACAUGAGAAGAUUAUAAUUAUUUUACAAAUGUAAUGGUAUUAAUAUUAGUACUAACAUUACCUUAUUAAUUUACUAAUAAUAAAUAAGUAAUUUUUAUUAAUUUGCUAGUAAUAGUACAAGUAUUACAUGUAUCAUAAAUACUUGUAACUAAAUAUCAGCUUAAAUUUUAUUGUUCACUUUGGGUAUUUGUUCUUCAUUCUUGUCUUCCUAUUUCUCUCCACUCUUGUCAUGUAAACCGUUUUCUUUUUAGUUACACCUAGUAUCUUCCUUUAUUAUUUCAAACUCACCACUGUUUAACUUUUCUUGUUAAAACUUGUUUUCCAGACCUUCAUUUUUUAAACUCUCAUUUCUCACUGUUUAUAUUUUAUUUUCAAUUUUACUUUUCUUUGUACCACCACAGUUUUUUAGCUGUUGUAUUUUGAGUCGCCAUCCUUGAAAUCCCAGUGUAGCUGCAGAUGAGCUUCUGAGAGCGCCUGGUCUUCCUGCCCACAGCUCCUGAGGGCUGGAUUACAGCAGGGCCCUCACUGUACCCGGCCAGUGUAGUGCUGGACACAAGGCCUCAUGUGAUUUAUAAGCAAGCAUUCUACCAACCACCCCAUACCGUAGGCCUUAGUUUUUCUAUAUUUUACUAGUUCAUUUUUUUCUACAAAAUACUGGGCUUCAUUUUGACGAAAUUUUCUGUUUCUUUAACAUAUGAAACUUCACCCAAUUCUAAAUUUAGUGUUAAUUUUUUCUCAUUCGUAGUUUUAUAUGAGUAGUAUGGUUAUUUAAAUGUUUACUGAAAGUGAUGGUUUAUAUAUGCUUGGCCCAGGGAGUAUUAGGAGAUGUAGCCUUGUUAGAGUAGGUGUGUCACUGUGGAUAUGGGCCUUCACACCCUUGUCCUAGCAGGCUGGAAGCCAGUCUUCUGUUGGCUGCCUUCAGAACAAGAGGUGGAACCCUCAGCUCCUCCCACAUCAUGUCUGUCUGGACACUGUCAUGAUCAUGCCUUGAUAAUAAUGGUCUGAAUUUCUGAACCUGUAAGCCAGCUCCAGUUAAAUGUCAUCCUUAUAAGAGUUGCCUUGGUCAUGGUGUCUGUUCACAGAAGUAAAACCCUAACUAAGACACUGAGACUCCAACAUUAACAUUUUGAAAAUAUUUAGCUAGUAUUUAUGAAUAUGUUGGGACAUAAUGGUACCUGCUAUUUGAACCAUGUGGAAUUCAGAAGGGUCUUGUUUUUAUUGUAUUGUUAGGUAAGUAGUACUGUAACUUCUUGAUGUUUGUCUAAUCAUCACAUUUCUUCCAAGUUUGUGAAGAUUUUUUGUUUAUGUGAGAUCUGGCUAUUUAGCCUAGAUUGGUUUUGAAAUCUUAGUAAUUCUACCUUAGUGUCCUGAAUGCUAAGAAUACAAGUGUGUGCUUCUACAUUGAGCUUUCCAUGGAAUUUGCUUCUCCGCCCUCCUUUCCUCCCCCUUCCAUUUAUUUUUCCUAGGUAUCCUGGGCUGUAUUGGAACUCACUCUGUUGUCCAGGCUGGCCUUGCGCGCAGAGAUCCACCUGCCUCUGUCUACUGAGUGCUAGGGUUAAUUAAAGGCGUGCACCACCCAACUUUUUCCCCUCCUUCUCCACCUCUUCCUUUUUCUUUUUAGAUCUAGUUUUGUGUGUAGGUUUGGAACUCUUAUGUAGAUCAGGAUGGCACUUUCCUUCCCAAGUACACCAAGUACACAUGUCACCAAGACUGGCAAAAAGAUUUAUUACUUAUUUGUGUGAAUGUGAACAUGUGUGUGGCUACUCAUGGAGACCAGAGGAGAGUAAUGGAUCUCCUAGAGCUAUAGGACAGAAGUCUGUGAGCCAAUCAGUUGGAUGCUGUUUCUCAGUGGUGCUACUUGAAAAAAAUAUUAGAAGCCUUGUAUUGACUAUUCCUUUAUACAUUUGAGCUGAUUGAAUAGGUUUGCAUUGCCAUGAAUUUACAGCAUUCUCCCCACUUCUUUUAUUUGGGGAUGGUUGUUGAUUGACAAAUGUGUCUCACAGUUAGAAUCCAUCUUUUUUUUUUUUUUUUUUUUUUUUUGGUAUAAGUAGCCCUGAUUUUUCUAUUUGUUUGGUUAGUUUUUGUUGUGUUCUGCUUUGCUUUAAUUUGCUGGGUUAUGCUGGAGUAAAACCCAGGGUCUUGGGUAUGUUAGGCAAAUCCUGAACUUCUGGGUAAUAGCCUUAGGAUUUUGAUUUUGAGACUAUCUUGCUGUGUAUAGCCCAGCCUGGCCUCUGCCUCUCAGGUGCUGUCUUUAUAGGAGUGUACACAACUCCUGGCUACUAUGUUUAGAGAAAAGGUUUCUUUUGGUGUUGAGGCUUUUAGAUACUGUAGCCCAGGUAGCCGUAUUCUUCAACGAUUCUUCUGCCUUUGCCUCAGGAGUGCCCCAAGCAUCGAUAUGUAUGUCUAUACCUCGAUACUGCUGGAAAUGUGCUGAUGUGUUCAUUCUCUUCUGACACUUUGAGACUUUGCAUGUGAAUAUAAAUUUGGUAAGCAACCUCCCCCCCCCCACCAUUUUAAUCUAUUCUUCAUGAAUUUUACACCAGACACCCCAAUUCCACUCUCUUUAUCCCUCCAUAUCCUCCCACUACCCUUGCAAACUCCCUCCAAAAG
rnacentral:lncRNA from 1 species